rnacentral:tRNA from 1 species
GCGGAGGUAGCCAAGUGGAUCAAGGCAGUGGAUUGUGAAU